rnacentral:rRNA from 1 species
GGGAUAGCCGCCCGAAAGGACGGGUAAUACCCGAUACCCCCGGGCGCCGCAUGGCGCCCGGGCUAAAGCCCCGACGGGAGGGGAUGGCUCCGCGGCCCAUCAGGUAGACGGCGGGGUGACGGCCCACCGUGCCGACAACGGGUAGCCGGGUUGAGAGACCGACCGGCCAGAUUGGGACUGAGACACGGCCCAGACUCCUACGGGAGGCAGCAGUGGGGAAUCUUGCGCAAUGGGGGGAACCCUGACGCAGCGACGCCGCGUGCGGGACGGAGGCCUUCGGGUCGUAAACCGCUUUCAGCAGGGAAGAGUCAAGACUGUACCUGCAGAAGAAGCCCCGGCUAACUACGUGCCAGCAGCCGCGGUAAUACGUAGGGGGCGAGCGUUAUCCGGAUUCAUUGGGCGUAAAGCGCGCGUAGGCGGCCCGGCAGGCCGGGGGUCGAAGCGGGGGGCUCAACCCCCCGAAGCCCCCGGAACCUCCGCGGCUUGGGUCCGGUAGGGGAGGGUGGAACACCCGGUGUAGCGGUGGAAUGCGCAGAUAUCGGGUGGAACACCGGUGGCGAAGGCGGCCCUCUGGGCCGAGACCGACGCUGAGGCGCGAAAGCUGGGGGAGCGAACAGGAUUAGAUACCCUGGUAGUCCCAGCCGUAAACGAUGGACGCUAGGUGUGGGGGGACGAUCUCCCCGUGCCGCAG